rnacentral:misc_RNA from 1 species
UCCGGCUUAUCACCGGCAGUUUCAGUAGAGUUCCCAGCGUUACCUGAUGGCAACUACUGAUGGGGGUUGCGCUCGUUGCGGGACUUAACCCAACACCUCACGACACGAGCUGACGACAGCCAUGCACCACCUGUGCACGGCCCUUACGGACCCGACAUCUCUGCCGGAUUUCCGUGCAUGUCAAGCCCAGGUAAGGUUCUUCGCGUUGCAUCGAAUUAAUCCACAUCAUCCACCGCUUGUGCGGGUCCCCGUCAAUUCCUUUGAGUUUUAAUCUUGCGACCGUACUCCCCAGGCGGUCUACUUCACGCGUUAGCUGCGUUACCAAGUUAAUUAAAACCCGACAACUAGUAGACAUCGUUUAGGGCGUGGACUAC